CCCCCGGAGGAAGCGGAGCGCCCGGGAAAGGAGCGUCUUGGAGACCAGCCCGGGCCACGGGCGAGGCCCCGGCUCCCCCAUGCAGCAAAAAGUGACCGGGCGCGAAAAAGGAAGAAAAGAAAGGACAAAAAGCCGCUGUCCGAGAAAGGCCCGUCAAAGAGCGCAGCCCGUCAGGAGGGAAGCGGGAGUCGCCGCGGACGCUGGGGACAGCCCUCCCGUCCCGUUUGGCCCCAUUCGUGCGGAGGCGCCUGGCCGUUGUAGAGAGUCGGAGGGAGGCCUCGCAAAAGCAGCUUUCUUCCUGAACCACUUCAGAAUAAGUGACACUGGAGGCUGAGGCACUCGAGAACCCCUCUCUUAAAAAAAAAAUAAGUUGCAGAAGAUUCCUCUUGCCCCAAAA